GUCCCUGUAGCGCAAUGGAUGUUGGGUGCGUUGAACUUCUAUUCCAAAGGUCGUGGGUUCGAAUCCCACCUGGGAUG